rnacentral:sRNA from 1 species
UUUGCUCGUAAUUUAUGCACUCUCAGUC